AGGAUCGAAUUGCAGCCAAGCCAGGACGGCGUCAAGGUGGACGACAGCUACUGUGACGCCCUGACCCGGCUGGAGCCCGUGCACAAGUUCUGCGCCGGGAGGGAGCGCCUGCCCAGGUGGGAGAGUAGCAGCUGGAGCUACCAGUUCCCCAUCCUGGGCUGCUGGAAGAUGCCGUCCCCCGGCUUCGACAGCUCCGUGAACAGCGACCUGUGGGAGGCGGCCGAGGCCGUGCGGCCGGAGGAGCACAAGGUUUGCCGCAACCCAGCCUGUAGGCCACAGUGGGAGAUGCCCCCCGCCCACCCCUCACAGUGCACAGCCAAGUACGGGGAGCACAGCGUGGUGACUAGGCACAUCCACUGCUCUGAGGACGAGAGGCUGUGUGACCCCAACACCAGGCCGGUGGGCGAAAAGAGCUGCACAGGUCCCCCUGCGACCACCAGUGGACCACGUCUGACUGGGGGCUGUGCAGAGGGAGCUGAGGGCAGAGCCACACCAUCAGGCAUGUGUGCUGCAAGACCAGCGAUGGCCGCGUAGUCCCUGAGUCCCAGCGCCAGGUGGAGACCAAGUCUCUGUCCAUCCACCCCUGUGGGGACAAGAACUGGCCAGCCCACUGGCUGGCCCAGGACUGGGGCUGGUGAUGCAACACCACCUGUGGCGAGAUGUGAAGAAGCGACUGGUCCUGUGCAUAGAGCUGACCAAUGGGAAGUUGUAGAUGCACAGUGGGCCUGAGUGUGGGCUAACCAAGAAGCUGCCGGAGGAGAGCACCUGUUUUGAGAGGCCUUGCUUCAAGUGGUACUCCAGCCCUUGGUUGGAGUGCACCAUGGCCUGUGGGGUGGGCAUGAGGAUGCAAGAUGUGAAGUGCUAUAAGGGCACCGACAUCGUGCGUGGCUGUGACCCACUAGUGAAGCCAGUGGGUAGGCAGGCCUGUGACCUGCAGCCCUGCCCCACAGAGCCCCCAGAUGACAGCUGCCAGGACCAGCCAGGCACCAACUGCACCCUGGCCAUCAAGGUGAACCUGUGCAGCCACUGGUACUACAGCAAGGCGUGCUGCCACUCCUGCAGGCUGCCCUGCCCUUAGGCUACCACUGCAGCCAUGGAGACCCAAGUGCCCACCCAGGGCCCCGCCCCAGACACCCCACGGGCGCCUGAGUGGGGGGGCGGGGUGCAGCACUGGGCCACCCCCUCUGCUCUCCCAGGCUGGGGAGCUCCAAAUCGUAAGGAUCCUGUUUGGGGCUGAGCCCCCACCCAAGGGGCCCCAGGACCCAGAGCCCAGCGGUGAAGGUGAGACAUGCCCAGGGUCCAGGCCGUCUCUGGGUAGGACCUCCUCCAGAUAACUGGCAGGUGACUCUGACCAGGCUCUGUGGGGGAGGUGGCGGUGGUGGCCCCGAUGUCACUGGGUCCCUGCCGGCAUCUAGGUGCCCAUCAGUUGGAGGGUUUGCCUCAUGGCCCGGCCCAGCCCAGCACCUGCCGAACUUUAAGCCCCGGGGAGCCCUCUUUCGGUGUGUGUGGUUCUCAGCAGUGGGUUUGUCCUGUAACCACAGUCAGUACUCAUCUGUGUAUGUCAAUAAAAUGGUCGUAUAUAUGGCGGCCUGGUGGGGUCUCUGCUGCGUCUGGUAGGAGGUGCAGGAGACCCCAUGGGCUUGGGAGAGCCAGGGUGUGGCCGUGUGGGGUCUCUCAAUCCCUAAGGCCUGGGGUUUGGGGCCGGCCAAGUGCAGACGGAGACCAAAGGCCACAGACAGAGUGGGCAGUGGGGCCUCAGGAGCCCGGCGCCGGGGUCAGAGUGGGCUGGAACCUCCACUGGUGUGGGGCUGCAGGGGAGGACCUGUACUAAGGCCUGGAGUGUCCCCUGCAGCAGGCUGGGGGACCAGGGAUGAGGCAGGUGUGCGGAGCCUCAGGACUGGUGUUUCUGGAGCUCUGCGGAGGGCCCCUGGUCUGGACUCGUGGGUGCCGAGCCGGACGAGAGCCCUCCUUUGGGCUGACCCAGCGGCAGACGUGGGGAGAGGCAAGAGCAGAGCAGCCAGUGGAGGGUGCUGGGAG